AACGAACGCUGGCGGCAGGCCUAACACAUGCAAGUCGAGCGAGGACUUCGGUCCUAGCGGCGGACGGGUGAGUAACGCGUGGGAACGUGCCCCUUGGUACGGAAUAGCCCCGGGAAACUGGGAGUAAUACCGUAUGAGCUCUACGGAGGAAAGAUUUAUCGCCAAGGGAUCGGCCCGCGUUGGAUUAGGUAGUUGGUGGGGUAAUGGCCUACCAAGCCGACGAUCCAUAGCUGGUUUGAGAGGAUGAUCAGCCACACUGGGACUGAGACACGGCCCAGACUCCUACGGGAGGCAGCAGUGGGGAAUCUUAGACAAUGGGCGCAAGCCUGAUCUAGCCAUGCCGCGUGAGCGAUGAAGGCCUUAGGGUUGUAAAGCUCUUUCAGCUGGGAAGAUAAUGACUGUACCAGCAGAAGAAGCCCCGGCUAACUCCGUGCCAGCCGCCGCCGUAA
rnacentral:rRNA from 1 species